CGUCGCGAAGCGGAAAUAGGAUUUUACUUACUUUUCAGAAAAAAAAUUUCAAUUUUAAUAUUUUAAAUAUUUUUUAACUGAAACAGGUUAGUAUUAGUUAAUAAAAAAGAAAUUUUUUUAAUUUUUUUAAAUUUGCCUUUUUAGGUGCGGGAUUUUCAGGGGUAAAAAAACCCAUGUUUUCACUAAACCUUUAAAUUACAUAAGAUAAUUUUCGAAUUUCUUCAUUUUUUUUGCACGUUUUCUAAUAAAUGAUACAUUUCGUAAAUUAACAACCAAGAAAAGAAAAAAAAAAUGUUUGGAUCAUUGUUUUUGGGUGUCUGUAAAGAUUGAUCGAUUAGACCAUGCUACUACAGAGGUAGCCAGUUUUUUAUUUUUUUAAAAUUUUCUCAAACAAAUUGACUUUUUAUAAGUGAAAUAAUAUUCUCGCUACCUCUGUAGUAACAUGCUAUAAAAUCAAUUCAAAAGAGGUGGAUUUAUUAAAAACCGGUUAGUUAGUUUUUGUCAAGAAACUGGCAGCGGGCGGAACAUUCUUUUCUAGUCUUUAAGUUAUAACCUAAGUUUGGCUCUAAUCGUGAUUUAGAAUUUUUUAAAAAUGGUUACUUUUAAUCUUAGCAAACUUCUGGCUGAUAAUUAUCCUCCAAGGCAUAUUUUCACGAGUAAAAAUGUAUCUGAAUGUGCUAAAUUUUUGCAGUCCAAGUUUUUAUCACUUUAUGCUGAUUGCACUGUGAAUUUCAACAUUUUCAAAACUCUGGCUUUUAAUUUAAUAAAAAAAUUUAAUGAGUGUGGAAAAAGAAAAAGUUCUUUCUUACUAAAUAUAAACAUUUUUUGGAUCAAAAUCAACAAUGCAAAUAUCUCUUAUUAGAAAAAGAUUCUGAAAAAGAGAUUAGAACACAUGAGGAAGAACUGCUAUUAAUUAGAAAAGGUGAAAAUCUGAUUAAACAGGGUAAUCAACUCAUCAAGCAGGGUGAGCGUAAAAUAAAAGAAGGGGAAUUACUGCUUCGUACUCAUGGAUCCAAUGUACACAGUGUACCAUGUAGAGUACCUAAAUCAUCUGCAGUCAAUACAUCUUGUACACCAAAACCUAGAUAGUCUUUUAUUAAGCUUACAAAUAGGAUGAAGCGUAAAAGAACAGAUAGUCUUAGAGAACGAGAGGUAGAAGAACUGCAACAUGCUGUCAAAAGGUUUAAAUCUAAUUCUUCUAUUGAUGGUAGGGCUAUUUUAUAUGGUUCAAAUUUGUCAUUGCAAGCUCUUUGUAAUUUGAAACUUACAGAUAGAACAUGGACUGAAUUUAAAAAUAUAGUGACUCAUAAUUGUCAUCUUGUUCCUCCAGGUUUAACCAAGUUGCAGCAAUACAAAAAAUUGACAUAUCCAGAACAGGUUGAAUAUUCUGAAACCGAAGUAAAAUGUAGUCUUUUCCAUAUGAUAAAGCAUUCAUUUUCUAGAGUGUUUGAAUAUCUUUUGGAUUAUGAAAGUAACUGCAUAAUGAGUUUAUCAGAAGAAGAGCGUGAUAAUGUACAAAUUAUUUGCAAAGUAGGAGGUGAUGGUCAAAGUGAUCAAUCUGAGUUUCAAAAUUCAGCAACUAUGAAAAGAGGUGUAGAUGAUCGCUCUGUGUAUAGUAUAAUGUUUGUACUGCUGGAGAUCCGAAGUGGAGAAAAAAUAAUAUGGAAAAAUUUAAUUCCAAAUAAUCCAGAUGCAACCCGUCAUCUUCUUUUUUGUUUUGCAAAAAAGACUGCUAGUUUUAUUCAGGAAAAUUUGAACAUUUGAAAAAUGAAAUUUUUUUAUUGAAGAAUAUUGAAUUUAAACUUGGUGAAAGUACUUUGUAGUAAAGUCUAGUUUGUCAACUAUUUAUACCACAAUGAAUGAUGGCAAAACACUAAACGCUGUUGUAUCAAAUAUGCUUAAAAAAAAAAUUUCAUCUCAGUCCUGCCAUGUAUGCCUUGCAAAUUCUAAGGAGUUUAACUUGAAAACUAUUUGGAAAAAAAAUAUUAAUUUAAACAAGCAUGUUUUGAAACUUGGAAUUUGCAGUCUUCAUCUAUGGAUGCGCUGUAUGGAGUGGAUUUUCAAUACUGCUUGUAAACUCCCAGCUGUUAAGCAAGGAAGAAAUAUUCUAUCACAAAAGAGUAAAGAAUUUAUUGAAAACAAAAAAAAAUUCCAGCAUUUAUUCAAGAUACAACUGAAUAUAAGGGUUUCUUUUGUCAGGAAAGGAUGUGGAACAACCAAUACUGGAAAUGUUGCUCGCAAAUUUUUUAAUAACCCGAUUGUGACAGGGAAAUUUUAAACUUGGAUAUCAGAAUGAUUAAGUUGUUUCGAGAUUUACUCAUUGAUAUAAACAGAACAACUACAAAAUAGUUUAAGAAAGCAAAGUGACAGUUCUUCUGAUAACUGCUUAAAAUAAAGGAAGUAAGACCAUGAAGAAUCAUACUGAUGAGCUGUUCUGUGUUGAAUUUAAAAAAAACCGGCUAUUUUCAUAGCCACAAGUUAUUAAAAAUAUCUAUUAGAAUAGAACGUUGAGAAACUGUGAAAGAAUGCAAAGAGCCAAGUAUCAUAUGAUAGCAGAGUUGUUUAUUAUAUUCAAUGAUACUGUUUAUUUUGAAAUAGUGUUCAUAUACAUUGUUUGUAAAAUUCUAUAAAAUAUAGGCGCCUACUUUUUUUGAAUAAAAUCAUCCGGACUUGUGUAGUUUUCCGGACAAAUAUAGAAUUAGUCCGGA